rnacentral:rRNA from 1 species
GAUGAACGCUGGCGGCGUGCCUAAUACAUGCAAGUCGAGCGAAAAGGCGAGGAGCUUGCUCCUCUGACGUUUGCCGAGGACGGGAGAGUAACACGUGGAACACCUACCUGUAAGAGUGGGAAAACUUCGGGAAACCGGCGCUAAUACCGGAGAAUAUAUUGAACCACAUGGGUGAAUAGUGAAAGACGGUUUUGCGGUCACUUAUAGAUGGUUCCGCGCCGCAUUAGCUAGUUGGGAAGGUAAAGGCUUACCAAGGCAACGAUGCGUAAGCGACCUGAUAGGGUGAUAGCCCACACUGGAACGUGGACACGGUCCAGAGGCCUACGGGAGGCAGCAGUAGGCAACGUUCCGCAGAGGGGGAGAACCUUACAGAGCAACGCCGCGCGAGUGAGGAAGGCCUCCGGAUCGGAAAACUCUGUUAUGAGGUAAGAACAAAUGUGUCAGUAAAUAUGCCCGGCUUGACGGUAACGAAUCAGAAAGCACCGGCUAACUACGUG